UACGAAGGGUGCAAGCGUUGUUCGGAAUUACUGGGCGUAAAGGGUUCGUAGGCGGGAAUGUAAGUUGGAUGUGAAAACCCCGGGCUUAACCUGGGACGUGCAUCCAAAACUGCGUUUCUUGAGUGUCUGAGAGGGUCGUGGAAUUGCUGGUGUAGGAGUGACAUCCGUAGAGAUCAGCAGGAACACCGGAGGCGAAAGCGACGACCUGGCAGAACACUGACGCUGAGGAACGAAAGCGUGGGGAGCAAACAGG
rnacentral:rRNA from 1 species